rnacentral:rRNA from 1 species
CCUACGGGUGGCAGCAGUGAGGAAUAUUGGUCAAUGGCCGGAAGGCUGAACCAGCCAUGCCGCGUGAAGGUCAGUGCCCUAUGGGCGUUAAACUUCUUUUGUGCGGGAGCAAUAAUGGUCACGUGUGGCCAGACGAGAGUACCGUACGAAUAAGCAUCGGCUAACCCCGGGCCAGCAGCCGCGGUAAUAAGGGGGAUGCAAGCGUUUAUCGGAUUUAAUGGGGUUAAAGGGUGCGUAGGCUGGGAGGUAAGUCAGCGGGGAAAUGCCCCCGCUCAACGGGGUGAAGUGCCAUUGAUACUGGCUUGCUGGAAUGCGGAUGCGGUGGGAGGAAUGUGUGGUGUAGCGGUGAAAUGCAUAGAGAUCACACAGAACACCGAUUGCGAAGGCAUCUCACGAAUCCGCGAUUGACGCUGAUGCACGAAAGCGUGGGUAUCAAACAGGAUUAGAUACCCCUGUAGUC